rnacentral:rRNA from 1 species
CCAAUAGCGUAUAUUAAAGUUGUUGCAGUUAAAAAGCUCGUAGUUGAAUUUCGGGGUCAGUAGGUUGGUCAUGCCACUGGUAUGUACUGGUCUCACUGAUUCCUCCUUCCUGAUGAGCCGUAAUGCCAUUAAUUUGGUGUUGCGAGGAAUCUGGACUGUUACUUUGAAAAAAUUAGAGUGUUUAAAGCAGGCUAACGCUUGAAUACAUUAGCAUGGAAUAAUGAAAUAGGACGUUUGAUCUUAUUUUGUUGGUUUCUAAGAUUGACGUAAUGAUUAAUAGGGAUAGUUGGGGGCAUUAGUAUUCAAUUGUCAGAGGUGAAAUUCUUGGAUUUAUUGAAGACUAACUACUGCGAAAGCAUUUGCCAAGGAUGUUUUCAUUAAUCAAGAACGAAAGUUAGGGGAUCGAAGACGAUCAGAUACCGUCGUAGUCUUAACCAUAAACUAUGCCGACUAGGGAUCGGAUGAUGUUAAUUUUUUAAUGACUCAUUCGGCGCCUUACG